rnacentral:sRNA from 1 species
GCUGGGGAUGGUGGUGCAUGCCUGUAAUCCUAGUGACUCAGGAGGCUGAGGCAGGAGGAUUGCAAGUUUGAGGACAGUUUCAGGAACAUAGGGAAGCCCUAAGAAACUGAGUGAUACACUAUCUCAAAAUAGAAAGGGAUGGGGAUGUAGCUUAGUGGUAGAGUGUGCCUGGGUUCAAUGGUUCAAUUCCCAGUACCUU